rnacentral:rRNA from 1 species
UAUUGGUCAAUGGGCGCGAGCCUGAACCAGCCAAGUCGCGUGAGGGAUGACGGCCCUACGGGUUGUAAACCUCUUUUGUCGGGGAGCAAAUUCCGUUACGUGUAACGGAGUCGAGAGUACCCGAAGAAAAAGCAUCGGCUAACUCCGUGCCAGCAGCCGCGGUAAUACGGAGGAUGCGAGCGUUAGCCGGAUUUAUUGGGUUUAAAGGGUGCGUAGGCGGAAUAUCAAGUCAGCGGUAAAAAUUCGGGGCUCAACCCCGUCGUGCCGUUGAAACUGAUGUUCUUGAGUGGGCGAGAAGUAUGCGGAAUGCGUGGUGUAGCGGUGAAAUGCAUAGAUAUCACGCAGAACUCCGAUUGCGAAGGCAGCAUACCGGCGCCCAACUGACGCUGAAGCACGAAAGCGUGGGUAUCG